rnacentral:rRNA from 1 species
CCUACGGGGGGCAGCAGUGAGGAAUAUUGGUCAAUGGGCGCGAGCCUGAACCAGCCAAGCCGCGUGAAGGAUGACUGCCCUACGGUUUGUAAACUUCUUUUAUAAAGGCAUAAAGUCAGGUACGAGUGCCGUUUUGUGUGUACUUUAAGAAAAAGAUUAGGCUAACUCCGUGCCAGCAGCCGCGGUAAUACGGAGGAUCCGAGCGUUAUCCGGAUUUAUUGGGUUUAAAGGGAGCGUAGGUGGGUUGUUAAGUCAGUUGUGAAAGUUCGGGGCUCAACCUGAAAAUUGCAAUGGAUACUGGCAGCCUUGAGUACAGUAGAGGGAGGCGGAAUUCGUGGUGUAGCAGUGAAAUGCUUAGAUAUCGCGAAGAACUCCGAUGGCGAAGGCAGCUUACUAAGCUGCCACUGACGUUGAUGCUCGAAAGUGUGGGUAUCAAACAGGAUUAGAUACCCCAGUAGUC